UGAGAUGGAGAGGGUUGUACUCGUGGAUCUCAAAGCUAUCUUCCAAGUCAAAGUGUCAUAGAAUUUUGAACCCUCUUAUGACGGACUCUGAGUCAUAAUGGCGUCAAGCAGAGACAGAAGGCAGCACACCGAACCCGUCACUUCCCAGCUGAGAACCAUGCCGAAGAAGCUGCCCUGUCUCGUCGCUGCUCAGCCUCCUCUUCGUCCUUCGUCUCCACCCCCCGUCCCAGCACAGCUUUCGGCUCCCUCCCUUCAUCCUGUCCUGCCUCUGCUCCCCAGGACUUCCUGUCUCUUCACCCUGCACCUGCCUCAGUCACCAGUUCCUCAGACCACCCCAACCCCCUCCUUACCUCAUGUGCAGACCGUCUCCCGCCUCUGACCAGUUUUUCCCCUUCCCACCUCCCUGCCUGGUCACCUCUACCUUGGCCUGUUCCCCUACUCCUCCUACCACCUGCCUGUGGGGCCUUGUGUCCCUACCAGUGGGGCACCCGGGCCAUCCCGGAACUCCUGGGAACGUGGUACGCAGCAUCCUGGUGACCCGGGGGACGUGGGGGACACUGGAUGAUGACCAGCAGGCAUUCAGCCUGGAGGAGCACCUCCCUCAGGUGAAGACUUUUACAGCCAGCCUAGCGUUUACACAUUUUCCUGGAUCUCAGUGGACAUUCUUUAUCAGUCGGUGGAGGUUUGAGGCAACCACACGCACCAGUCAAGACUCCAGGCUCUCCCCUCGACCACUCCCCCAGCAAACAUGAGCUACUAACUCAUAGUUAGGCUUUGUUUAUAAAGGAGCUGAGUACCAGACUUCUGCAACGUCUUUGCAAUUUGUUCUCGUAAUUGUUAGUAUUACUGUUUACAGUCGUUACCAUUAUAUGUCAAUCUGUAAUGCCUUGGGCUUUUGGUAUCUAGUAAGUUGCUUUUCCUUGGGCAGCUUGCACCGCCUGCAUCCUUCAGCUCUGCCUGGUUGGUUGGCCAGUCUUGAAGGGCAUCUCCCUUUGUAAUUGUCCCCUCAUACCAGCUGGGCUACGGCUAAACCUUGGAAGAUGCAAGACCAGGGCUGGCUGAGCUAGAGAAGAAGGCAGGGCCCGCCCUCGGGGAAAACACGACUCGUUUCUGGGCAGCUUCCUUCCAGCCACGCCAUCUUGUCUGUUUCCCAGGAGUAAUCCAGAGUAAUCCUCUAUGACUACCAAGGCUUCCCCACUCUGAAAAUCCACCUGCUGCAGGAAGAGAGAGGUUUCCAAAGUUGGGAUCAGAGCUGUGAUUUUCUCAAAAGGUCUUUAUUCUGGAAUUUAUAAGGCAGCGGGGUUUGGAAAGCAAUGGUAGUCCUACCCAACCAUAAAUAUCUGAAUUCAAGAUAUUUUAAAAAUAGACAUUACUGAGACAUGAUUUACAUAAAAUAAAAUGCCUGUUUUAAGGAUACGGUUUGAUGCGUUUUGAUGAAUACGUCUACUCCUCUGUAACCACGACCACCAUCCAGUGUGGGGACUGUUCCCGUCAUCUCCCCACAUUCCUUCCUGACCCUCUGCGGUCAACACCACCCACCCCACGUCCUCAGGCAGCACCGGUUGACAUUUUUUCCCUGUAACUGAGUCGCAUGUGGUCUAGAAUUUCAUAAAACAGUAUUUACUCUCUUGUGCCUGGUUUCUUUCACACAGCAUGUGCUGUGUCUGCCAUGCAUCCGCGCUGUUGCAUAUGCCAGUGAUUCAUUCUAUUGAGCGCUGAGGGGUAUCCUGAUACACUCACCUGCCACAGAUUACUUUUGCAUUGCACCUGUUGCUAGGUAGGACCGUUAAGAAUCUGUUGCCUCUCCACUCCCAAUCUACCCUUCAUUACCUGCUCUGUGAUAGUGGGCGAGCCCCCUUUCCUGGGGUCUCCUUGGCAGUGAGACCCAUAUCGAGCUGUGUCAGUAGGUGGCACUGAAGGGACCCUGCCGGAGGAAGAAAACGCUCCUCGGUGGAGCCUGCUUCUGCCUGCUGCUCUUUCUGCAACCGCACGCUGCCAGGGGCACAGCAUGGGGCCACCCAUAAACCUCCCGUCCCAACUGCAUCUCCAGGGCAUGAGUCGCCCGUGCGUUCAGAGCCCCAGGCCUAGCCGAUGCCCAGCUCACGGCAGCCUCCCAUCAUGGACUGUGCACUGGGGUGCCACCCUGCUGAGGAGCAGUCUCUGACUGGCUGUGCACCAACCUGCCAGCCUCUGCCUACCAGCGACCUGGAAGGGUUUUCCGGUGGCCUCCAGACAUGGGCACGUGUGUCCUGGGCCUUCACCGCUCAGCCUGCAGGUAGGUUCCUGACUUGGACUCUCCCGGGCACUUCCUGCCAGUACCUGCUGGCCUGGCGGCCGUGGACCGGGCCUGGCCCAGGCUCCCAGGGUACCUCGCAAAGCAUUACCUGUUUGCAACAAGCUUUGCGUCCCAGCUUGAAGGGGAGGUCCCCUUCCAGUUUGUUCCUCCCCUAGAGGCUCCCUCUGCUGUAGAAUAUUCUGUUGAUUUCCUGUACAUCUUCUACACUGG
rnacentral:lncRNA from 9 species